ACAUCACACCAGGCCUUCAGGAUCAGUUAGAACCUUGUCCUUAGGAUGCUGGAGAAACACGGAAAGGCUUCAAGCAGGAACACGUGAUCAGAUUGGUGUUUUACAGAACUCCCUCUAACUGCCAAGUGGAGGAAACGGAAUUUAAUUCUCCUCCCUUCGAGAGUACGCUGGAUGCUGUGACUUGCUCCUAACACAUGCACGGUAAGGAAAGGGCAGAACAGUAAUACCGCGGGCAAGAUACCUGGUGGAUGCCACCUUCAUGAAAUGAGGUCACCUGAGUCUCAGUGGGAUUCAUCCCCAGCCUAUAGUCUAACCGGGAGAACAUGAAAAAUACCAGACUGAGGGACAGUCUACAAAAUACCUGACCAAUAUGCCUCAAAACUGUCAAGAUCAUGAAAGACAGGGAAAGACUGAGAAACUGUCACAGAUUGGAGGAGACCAAGGAGACAGGACGAGUAAAUGCAACGGGGUAUCCUGGAUUGGAUCCUGGAACAGAAAAAGAACAUUAGUGGAAAAACGGGGGGGAUAUGAAUAAAGUUCGGACUUCUGUUAAUCCAACACUAACCAAUGUUAACGUCUUGGUUUUGACAAAUGUAAAACUAUUGUUAUGUAAGAUGUUAACGUGCGGGGGAGCUGGGUGUAGGAUGUACGGGAAGUCUCUGUACUAUCUUUGCAAUCUUUCUGUAAACCCAAAAUUAUUAAAUAAAAACAUUUUAAAGUA